AUCGCUUCUCGGCCUUUUGGCUAAGAUCAAGUGUAGCAUAAUCAUUCACUAUAUGAAACUGUCAUCUUUUAAAACUUUAUCAUUUGCCUCUCACACUAUAAUAUAAGCUUCAUAAGAACAGGGGCAUUAUCUUUCUCUGUUAAUAUUAUACCCCAGUGCCUAG
ensembl:snRNA U2 U2 spliceosomal RNA